rnacentral:rRNA from 1 species
AGAGUUUGAUCCUGGCUCAGGAUGAACGCUGGCGGCGUGUCUAAGGCAUGCAAGUCGAAUGCUAGCUUGCUAGCAUGGCAAACGGGAGAGUAACACACUGGUAACCUACCUCGAAGACGAGAAUAACUCCGAGAAAUCGGAGAUAAUACUCGAUAAAAAUGGGGGGACAUAUGUCAUUCCCAUUUAAAGUUCCGGCGCUUCGAGAGGGGCCUAUGGUCUAUCAGCUUGUUGGUGAGGUAAAAGCUCACCAAGGCUACGACGGAUAACGGGUGUGAGAGCAUGACCCGUCUCACUGGGACUGAGACACUGCCCAGACUCCUACGGGAGGCUGCAGUUAAGAAUCUUCCUCAAUGGCCGAAAGGCUGAAGGAGCGACGCCGCGUGUAUGAAGACGCCCCUCGGGGUGUAAAGUACUUUUAACUGGGAUGAAUCAAUGACAGUACCAGUUGAAUAAGGGGCUGCUAACCUCGUGCCAGCAGCAGCGGUAAUACGAGGGCCCCAAGCGUUAUCCGGAUUUAUUGGGCGUAAAGCGUCCGCAGGUUGUUUAUCGCAUCUCCUGUUAAAUCCCGAGGCUCAACCUCGGAACCGCAGGAGAGAUGGAUAAGCUAGAGGAUGGACGAGGUAAGCGGAAUUGCUGGUGUAGGGGUUAAAUCCGUUAAUAUCAGCAGGAACACCAAAUGCGAAGGCAGCUUACUAGGACACUCCUGACACUCAUGGACGAAAGCGUGGGUAGCGAAUGGGAUUAGAUACCCCAGUAGUCCACGCCGUAAACGAUGGGUGCUAAGCAUUGGAAGUAUCGACCCUUUCAGUGCUGCUAACCUAAGGUAACCCGUUAAGCACCCCGCCUGGGGAGUACGAGCGCAAGCUUAAAACUCAAAGGAAUAGACGGGGACCCGCACAAGCGGUGGAGCAUGUGGUUUAAUUCGACGAUAAGCGAAGAACCUCACCAAGGUUUGACAUCUAGCUGCAAGCUCUAGAAAUAGAGUCGCCUUCGAGGGUGCUAGACAGACACUGCAUGGUUGCCGUCGGCUCGUGUCGUGAGAUGUACCGUUAAGUCGGGAAACGAGCGCAACCCCUAUCCUAUGUUUUAUAUGUCAUGGGAGACUGCCCGUUUUAAAUGGGAGGAAGGCGGGGACGACGUCAAAUCAGCAUGGUUCUUACACCUUGGGCAACACACGUGCUACAAUGGGAAGUACAGAGGGACGCCAAACCGCAAGGUGGAGCAAAUCUCAAAAAACUUCUCUCAGUUCGGAUUGGGGUCUGCAAUUCGACCCCAUGAAGUCGGAAUCGCUAGUAAUCGUGGAUCAGAACGCCACGGUGAAUACGUUCUCGGGUCUUGUACUCACCGCCCGUCAAGUCAAGGGAGUCGGUAAUGCCCGAAGGCUUACUUAACGUAGGACGAAGGUAAGACUGGCGACAGGGACUAAGUCGUAACAAGGCA